rnacentral:lncRNA from 1 species
AUGGAAGUCCCUUCUCCUCCCAAGAAACUGAGGGGAAAGAUGGCAGGAGGGGGCUUGGAAAAGGCUGUGGAGGUUCCCCCCACCCCGCUGGAUCCCUCAGGGAUCAUCCAUAUCCUGCUGGAAACAGGGGAAUUCGGGAUUAAACUCAGAGGUUCAGCACCAGAGCCUCCCAGAGCCUCAAAUGGGCAGGGGGAACACCCACCCCAGGGAAUAUUUGGGAAGGGGUUGGUGGGCAGGAGAACACCCACCCCAGGGAAUAUUUGGGAAGGGGUUGGUGGGCAGGAGAACACCCACCCCGGGGAAUAUUUGGGAAGGGGUUGGCGGGCAGGAGGAACACCCACCCCAGGGAAUAUUUGGGAAGGGGUUGGCGGGCAGGGGAAUAUCUGGGAAUACCUGGAAGCUGCCAAAGCAGCUGCCCCCGGGCAGGGUGACGUAGCACACGUAGGGGGGGCUCCCGGCGGGCACCAUCUCGUAGAGCACCAGCGCCCCGUGGCGAAGGUCGGCCCCGCGCGACGCCUUCAUCUGCCAGAACUCCUGCAGGGCCUCCACCACGUUCACUGCCAGGGAAAAACCGGGAAUGACCCCCCCCAUCACCCCACUGGAUCACUCCGGGAUCGCCCCCAGCCCGAGGGAGACGGGCCGGGAUCCAUCGGCCUCGGAAUCCAUCGGUCUGGGGCACACUGGGGUGAACAUGUUCCUAUGGAAGUCCCUUCUCCUCCCAAGAAACUGAGGGGAGAGAGGGCAGGAGGGGGCUUGGAAAAGGCUGUGGAGGUCCCCCCACCCCGCUGGAUCCCCCAGGGAUCACCCGUAUCCCGCUGGAAAUUCCCAGUUGGAAUCCAUCGGCGCUGAGGGGUGAUGUGGCAGGAGAGGGCAGGAGAGAGGAAGCUGGAUAUUGGGAAGAAUCCCAAAUCCUGUUACAGGUUCGAGAUCCGAGAGGAUGGUCCCCAAAAAAUCCUUGCCCACGGAAUAUUAUUCCCUCAAAGAAAUCCCUGCCCGUGGAAGAAACUUUAAGGCCCCUUCCAAGCCAAACCAUUCCCUAAUUCCAUGAUUCCAUGUAGAAUCAGGGACAUCUGCUCACUGAAGGACUCUUUGGGGAGGAGAUCCAUGGAUUUAUGAUCCGAGGUGGGGGAGCUCCUGUUGGCCUCACCCUUCGGAUUCGCUGCUCCCGACCGUCAAUCCACCCUCUGGAGCGCUGGCCUGGAUCCUGCCAGCACAGAUCCACGUGAAAUCCAGUGGAAUAAGUGUUUCCACAUGGCUCUGGAGCCGCUGAUCCCGCUGCCUGCCAAGGCCUCACCCUUUGGAAGCUCAGCGGAGCUUCCGGAGGCAGCGGGAGCCCAAAAUCAUCCCCAAGUGGCUCCUUGGGGGCGGGAUGACGGGUUCUUUCCAUCCCAGCAGCAGGAAAAUCCCCUUUUUGUCGCCUCUUCCCUUUUUCUUGUGAUGUUUUUAAAUCCAAAGGAACAUCCAACCCCCCCUCUGGCACGUGGGGAUCGGCCUGAUGCAAUCCUUGGAGCACCCCCUCUGACAGCCUCUCCCAACCCCCAGGAAAAUGGAUUUUCCAUGGAUGCAGCCCGUGGGGAGUAUCCCAAGAAAACUGCAGCCACUGGGAAUGGCAUGGAUUGCCCAGGGAGCUGUUUUCCGUGGAAAAAGGGGGCUUUAAUUGUGUCCUGGUAUCAGGAUGAAGGGAAGAACCCUAAUUGCUCAUGGAGGAGGAAUGGUGAAUCCUUAAAAACCCCACAAGCCAAGGAAUUGCCUGGAAGGAAGGAAAUGGAGCAUGGAAAUAGGGAAAAGGGACAUGGAAAUAAGGAAAAGGGACAUGGAAAUGAGGAAAAGGGACAUGGAAAUGAGGAAA